rnacentral:rRNA from 1 species
GGCCGCGGGAAUUCGAUUCAGGCCUAACACAUGCAAGUCGAGCGAACCCUUCGGGGUGAGCGGCGGACGGGUGAGUAACGCGUGGGUAACCUGCCCUGUACACACGGAUAACAUACCGAAAGGUAUGCUAAUACGAGAUAACAUGUAAUGAUCGCAUGGUCGAUACAUCAAAGCUCCGGCGGUACAGGAUGGACCCGCGUCUGAUUAGCUAGUUGGUGAGGUAAUGGCUCACCAAGGCGACGAUCAGUAGCCGACCUGAGAGGGUGAUCGGCCACAUUGGAACUGAGACACGGUCCAAACUCCUACGGGAGGCAGCAGUGGGGAAUAUUGCACAAGGGGCGAAAGCCUGAUGCAGCAACGCCGCGUGAGCGAUAGAGGCCUUCGGGUCGUAAAGCUCUGUCCUCAAGGAAGAUAAUGACGGU